ensembl:lncRNA novel transcript
UUCUUUCCUGCAGACCGUGAGAACAGGCUGUUCCAACGAGACUUGAAAAGCUGCCUUUGGUGGACUGACUUCCCGGUCCCCUCAAAGAAUGUCAGUCCUGAGGGUCUGUAAUCCUCUCACUCCCAAAGUAAGAGGACCAAGGCGGCUUGAGGAAGAAUCAAGGGUAGUAUCGGCUUCAGGAAGUAACAAAGCACAGGCAGGGUCCUCUGCGAAGUGAUGCAGAUGAAACCCCAGGAAUGAAUGACACGCUCAGUACCUGCCAGGCACCGCUCUGAGAACUUCAUCCGCAUUAUGUUACUUAAUCAUCACGGCCCCCUGCCAGGAGGAUCAUUAUGCCUGCUUUACAGAAAAGACUUACAGGUUAAAGUGCCUAAGGUCCUGCAGUCUCCAAACCUGGCCAAUCCACCCGCAGAGCCCAUGCUCUGAACCACCGCACCACAUGGCCAGGUGAGGGCCGUCUCGGUCCCCAAAUGAGCCGCCUACGCAUACACUGCCAAGCCUUUGCCCACGCUGUUGGCUCUCCCCUGCUGUGCUUGGAACGCCUACUUGACCUUCAAAUUCCAGCCUGAGUCCUCCACCU